AGAGUUUGAUCCUGGCUCAGGAUGAACGCUGGCGGUAUGCCUAACACAUGCAAGUCGAACGAUGUCUUCGGACAUAGUGGCGGACGGGUGAGUAACGCGUGAGAAUCUGCCUCUAGGAUGGGGAUAACGGUUGGAAACGACCGCUAACACCCAAUAUGCCGUAAGGUGAAAAAUUUAUUGCCUGGAGAGGAGCUCGCGUCUGAUUAGCUAGUUGGUGGGGUAAGAGCUCACCAAGGCUUCGAUCAGUAGCUGGUCUGAGAGGAUGAGCAGCCACACUGGGACUGAGACACGGCCCAGACUCCUACGGGAGGCAGCAGUGGGGAAUUUUCCGCAAUGGGCGAAAGCCUGACGGAGCAAUACCGCGUGAGGGAGGAAUGCCUUUGGGUUGUAAACCUCUUUUCUCAGGGAAGAAGAUCUGACGGUACCUGAGGAAUAAGUAUCGGCUAACUCCGUGCCAGCAGCCGCGGUAAUACGGAGGAUGCAAGCGUUAUCCUGAAUCAUUGGGCGUAAAGCGUCCGCAGGUGGUUUCCAAAGUCUGCUGUUAAAGACUGGAGCUCAACUCCGGAACGGCGGUGGAAACUUGGAAACUAGAGUUCGGUAGGGGUAGCAGGAAUUCCCAGUGUAGCGGUGAAAUGCGUAGAUAUUGGGAAGAACAUCGGUGGCGAANGCGUGCUACUGGACCGUAACUGACACUCAGGGACGAAAGCUAGGGGAGCGAAAGGGAUUAGAUACCCCUGUAGUCCUAGCUGUAAACGAUGGAAACUAGGUGUGGCUUGUAUCGACCC
rnacentral:rRNA from 1 species